rnacentral:rRNA from 1 species
GACGAACGCUGCGGCGUGCUUAACACAUGCAAGUCGAACGGGCUCUGUCUGGCUGUGUGCUGGGUGGGGUUAGUGGCGAACGGGUGAGUAAUACGUGAGUAACCUGCCCUCUUCUUUGGGAUAAGCCUUGGAAACGGGGUCUAAUACUGGAUAUUCCUGUCUGGUCGCAUGGCUGGGUGGGGAAAGUUUUUUCGGUGGGGGAUGGGCUCGCGGCCUAUCAGCUUGUUGGUGGGGUGAUGGCCUACCAAGGCGUCGACGGGUAGCCGGCCUGAGAGGGUGACCGGCCACACUGGGACUGAGAUACGGCCCAGACUCCUACGGGAGGCAGCGUGGGGGAUAUUGCACAAUGGGCGCAAGCCUGAUGCAGCGACGCCGCGUGGGGGAUGACGGCUUUCGGGUUGUAAACCUCUUUCGUCGGGGGACAGGGCUCUGCUUGGUGGUGGGGUUGAGGGUACCCGGUGAAAAGCGCCGGC